rnacentral:lncRNA from 1 species
GAAAGCAAUCAUGAUGGGGGUCUGACUCUCGAGAUUCGGAGAGCAGUGUCUCUUCGAUUUUUGAGGAAGUAAUCAUGUUGGGAGUCUGGCUCUCAAGAUUCGGAGGGCGGUGCCUCUUCGAUUUUGGAGCAAGCAAUCUUGUUGGGAGUGUUGUCUCGAAUGUGAGUAAAGGUUGGACAUGUUUGCUAGUCUACCUUGCCACGAAGCACAAAGGUUGACACACAGGGACUUUCCAAUUAUCCAGCAAUGGUACUGUUCCUUUACCCUCUCUUCGAUUUUGAGAAAGUAGUCAUGUUGGGAGUCUGGCUCUCGAGAUUCGGAGGACGGUGCCUCUUCGAUUUUGGAGCAAGCAAUCUUGUUGGGAGUGUUUUCUCGAAUGUGAGUAAAGGUUGGGCAUGUUUGCUAGUCUACCUUGCCACGAAGCACAGAGGUUGACACACAGGGACUUUCCAAUUAUCCGUACUGUUCCUUUACCCUUGUGGGUAAUAAUAUGGUAGCUAGACCUUCAAAAUUUAUGUGUCUAAACUUUGUUAGUGCUGUUUCUUUGCUAUUCUUUUACCUUUCUUGGUCAGAGCGAUGUAGUGGGAGCUGCAAGCUUACGUGCUCAACUUUGGCAGAGAACUUUGGCAAAGUUAUCUAUGGUACCCAUGAGUUAUUGUUGCGUGUGGGAAGUGGGUGAUUGAACAGUAAGAUUCAUGUGCUUUCUACUUCACCAGAAGUCUUCGACAAAAAUGCCCAUAAUUUCUGCAAAGCUGAGUGUGCGUGUGACAGGUGCUGACAAGGCUAGAAAAGUAGGUGCCUCUUCGAUUUCUGAGAUCGGCCCUCGUGGUCUCUGAGCAGCCCAGCUUUUGAGAAAGCGAGCGCCUCUUCAAUUGAUUCGGAGAACGAUGCCUCAUCGAUUUUUUGAGAAAGCAAUCAUGCUGGGGGUCUGGCUCUCGAGAUUCGGGGAGCAGUGUCUCUUCGAUUUUUUGAGAAAGUAAUCAUGUUGGGAGAGUGGCUCUCGAGAUUCGGAGGGCGGUGCCUCUUCGAUUUUGGAGCAAGCAAUCUUGUUGGGAGUGUUUUCUCGAAUGUGAGUAAAGGUUGGGCAUGUUUGCUAGUCUACCUUGCCACGAAGCACAGAGGUUGACACACAGGGACUUUCCAAUUAUCCAACAGUGGUACUGUUCCUUUACCCUUGUGGGUAAUAAUAUGGUAGCUAGACCUUCAAAAUUUAUGGGUCUAAACUUUGUUAGUGCUGUUUCUUUGCUAUUCUUUUACCCUUCUUGGUCAGAGCGGUGUAGUGGGAGCUGCAAGCUUCACGUGCUCAACUUUGGCAGAGAACUUUGGCAAAGUUAUCUGUUGGUACCCAUGAGCUAUUGUUGCGUGUGGACUACUUCCCCAGAAGUCUUUGACAGAAUGCCCAUAAUUUCCGCAAAGAUGAGUGUG